GUGCCAGCAGCCGCGGUAAUACGUAGGGUGCGAGCGUUAAUCGGAAUUACUGGGCGUAAAGCGUGCGCAGGCGGUUGUGUAAGUCAGAUGUGAAAUCCCCGGGCUCAACCUGGGAACUGCAUUUGAGACUGCACGGCUAGAGUGUAGCAGAGGGGGGUAGAAUUCCACGUGUAGCAGUGAAAUGCGUAGAGAUGUGGAGGAAUACCGAUGGCGAAGGCAGCCCCCUGGGUUACUACUGACGCUCAUGCACGAAAGCGUGGGGAGCAAACAGGAUUAGAAACCCGGGUAGUCC
rnacentral:rRNA from 1 species